rfam:Streptomyces caeruleatus strain NRRL B-24802 genomic scaffold PRJNA299234_s050, whole genome shotgun sequence.
CUUGAGCGACCCCAGCCAUAGGGGGCGGUCUUCCGGCCGGUCCUGUCCGUAGGUCGCCAGAAGUGCCUGGGCCUC